rnacentral:tRNA from 1 species
GCAGAAGUACUCAAGUGGCUGAAGAGGCGCCCCUGCUAAGGGAGUAGGUCGGUAACACGGCGCGAGGGUUCAAAUCCCUCUUUCUCCG